rnacentral:rRNA from 1 species
CAGCGUCACAAGUGGGGACCGUUUUUAUUGGGCCUAAAGCGUCCGUAGCCGGAUAAGUAAAUCUUUUGUGAAAUUGUCUAGCUUAACUAUACAGCAUGCAGAAGAGACUGCUUAUCUUGGAACCGGGAGGAGUGUGGAGUAUUCCAGGGGAAGCGGUAAAAUGUGAUAAUCCUUGGAAGACUACCUGUGGCGAAGGCGCCACACUAGAACGGAUUCGACGGUGAGGGACGAAGGCUAGGGGAGCAAAAUGGAUUAGAUACCCGCGUAGUCC